rnacentral:lncRNA from 1 species
GCUUAUCCAAUAAACUAAUUGGACUUGAUCCAAUCAAGUCUAAACUAAAUCUAAUUAAAUUAUAUUUAAUUAGACUUAAUCUCAACCCAUUGGCUUAAUUAAAUUAAGCCAAUUAGCAAUCAAAUUGCUAAUCGAUCCUCCUGUAACACUUGUAUUGGGUUAAAUAUCAAUCGUAUUGAUCAUUUAACCCUAGAAUGAUUCUUAAUCGUUGAUCAACCAUC